rnacentral:rRNA from 1 species
UACGAAGGGGGCUAGCGUUGUUCGGAUUUACUGGGCGUAAAGCGCACGUAGGCGGAUCGAUCAGUCAGGGGUGAAAUCCCAGAGCUCAACUCUGGAACUGCCUUUGAUACUGUCGAUCUGGAGUAUGGAAGAGGUGAGUGGAAUUCCGAGUGUAGAGGUGAAAUUCGUAGAUAUUUGGAGGAACACCAGUGGCGAAGGCGGCUCUCUGGGACGGUACUGACGCUGAGACGCGAAAGCGUGGGGAGCAAACAGG